AUGACGCGCGGCGAUUGGAACGGCUCCAAUGUCCACGACGGCCACCUCGACUUCCUCCGCGUGAUGCGGAGGCUUCCCAUUGCGACGAUGGUGGGGACGCACCUUCCCGACGCGAGGGAGAUCUCGCCGACACCGAGGGCCGGCGAGUUCGUCGUCUUCCGGAGCAAUUUCCUUAGCGGAUUUGGCUUGCCUGCAAUCGGCUUCCUCCGCUCUUUUCUUGAUUUCUACCAUCUUCAACCUCACCACCUUACUCCAAACACGGUGGUGCUCCUCUCCGCCUUCGUGACCCUCUGCGAGGGCUACCUCGGCGUCCUGCCCACCAUCGAGCUGUGGGGCAAGUUUUUUUAUCUGAAGCUGGGGACCCAGGCCAAGGGCGAGCCGGCCCAGUGCGGCGCACGGGCUCCGGGACCCGCUUUCCUCCUAUCGCCCUGUUGGAGUCGGCGAAGUUGUGGCAGAAGUCCUACUAUGUCCGCAACCUCCACCCGACGCGCGACUACAUCAACCUGCUGGCUUACGUAG
rnacentral:rRNA from 1 species